AGGAAAUAUUAAGGGCAGCCAAUUUCAUCUUCCUUAGACCUAUGUAGCGAGGACCCGCUGCGAGGUCCAGCGGAUAGACUUCUCUGUGUGUCCGGUCCUGUCCGGUCCUGUCUCUGGUUGCCUGGUUACAGAUGCUGCUGCACCCACGCGUUUAAAAAUUUCUACACCUGAAACUCCACCACGUCCAAAGAAGCAAAAACGUUUUCAAAUGUACAGACAUGAGUGUGAAGAUUCGAACCCCUGGUAAUAGCUACAGGGCAAACUGUGUUUUCUGUUGCUCAUGGACUGGCUGAAGUAAGGCAGCAUCAGGAGACCAACAUGGAAGAAACAUGAGAACAGAGAGAACCCAACCAGCAGGUCACAGUUUAUCAUCAUCUAAUCAUCUCCUGAAGUCUAUAUGGUGGUUCUGGCAGAGCUUGGACUGAUGUUCUGGAUAAUUAUCUGCUGUAGGAUGAACUCCUGACCAACUAGAACAUACCAGAGGGUUCUGCAUGGAGCUGCAGAAUGCUGUGGUAGCUGUUUAGGUUCAGGGUUCCUCUCACUCUGUACAAGAACCGACCCUGGAUCCAACAGAACAGCCCCAGACCAUCAUACUUCCUCCUCCAUGUUUAACAGGCUAACAGCUGCUGUGUCCCCAGCAUCCACAGCAGCGUUUCCAUGUGUGAG
ensembl:lncRNA